rnacentral:rRNA from 1 species
UACGUAGGGUGCAAGCGUUAAUCGGAAUUACUGGGCGUAAAGCGUGCGCAGGCGGUUUUGUAAGACUGUCGUGAAAUCCCCGGGCUCAACCUGGGAAUUGCGAUGGAGACUGCAAGGCUAGAAUCUGGCAGAGGGGGGUAGAAUUCCACGUGUAGCAGUGAAAUGCGUAAAGAUGUGGAGGAACACCGAUGGCGAAGGCAGCCCCCUGGGUCAAGAUUGACGCUCAUGCACGAAAGCGUGGGGAGCAAACAGG